rnacentral:tRNA from 1 species
UCCCUGUGGCUCAGUUGGUAGAGCAUGGUGUGUGCAACGCCAGGGUUGUGGGUUCGAUUCCCACAGGGAG